rnacentral:lncRNA from 1 species
UUUGGGCACAGGUGAUGGAUUGUAGAAUAUGUAAUAAUGUGGAAAUAGUUUACUAAUGUUAUUGGAUGUAGAGUGCAUGAUCUUUCACUUUUGAUUUGUUAUUGGAUGUAGAGUGCAUGAUCUUUCACUUUUGAUUGAGUGUUAAUGUAGUGUUAUCAUCUCUGGAAUGAUUUUUCUUGCACAUUAUGAAUAUGAUUAAGCGAUCUUGCUAAGUCCAUGAGCAAACUAUGAUAGACGUACUUUCACUUUUGUAUUAAAAAUUUGAGUCUCUGUUUAGUGACGGAAUCAGUAAUUAAAUUGGCAGUAAUGCAUUUUUAUGCAGCUGUAUAUAGUUUUAUCCUUGUCUCAUUAUUUUUUCCAAAUUGCAACUCCAAGUGCUGUUUACUUCUUAGAAGAUCUAAUAUGAUGGGUUCUCUAAUUAUCAUUAAUUCUUACAGG